AAAUUGAAGAGUUUGAUCAUGGCUCAGAUUGAACGCUGGCGGCAGGCCUAACACAUGCAAGUCGAACGGUAACAGGAAGCAGCUUGCUGCUUCGCUGACGAGUGGCGGACGGGUGAGUAAUGUCUGGGAAACUGCCUGAUGGAGGGGGAUAACUACUGGAAACGGUGGCUAAUACCGCAUAACGUCGCAAGACCAAAGAGGGGGACCUUCGGGCCUCUUGCCAUCAGAUGUGCCCAGAUGGGAUUAGCUUGUUGGUGAGGUAACGGCUCACCAAGGCGACGAUCCCUAGCUGGUCUGAGAGGAUGACCAGCCACACUGGAACUGAGACACGGUCCAGACUCCUACGGGAGGCAGCAGUGGGGAAUAUUGCACAAUGGGCGCAAGCCUGAUGCAGCCAUGCCGCGUGUAUGAAGAAGGCCUUCGGGUUGUAAAGUACUUUCAGCGGGGAGGAAGGUGUUGCGGUUAAUAACCGCAGCAAUUGACGUUACCCGCAGAAGAAGCACCGGCUAACUCCGUGCCAGCAGCCGCGGUAAUACGGAGGGUGCAAGCGUUAAUCGGAAUUACUGGGCGUAAAGCGCACGCAGGCGGUCUGUCAAGUCGGAUGUGAAAUCCCCGGGCUCAACCUGGGAACUGCAUUCGAAACUGGCAGGCUUGAGUCUUGUAGAGGGGGGUAGAAUUCCAGGUGUAGCGGUGAAAUGCGUAGAGAUCUGGAGGAAUACCGGUGGCGAAGGCGGCCCCCUGGACAAAGACUGACGCUCAGGUGCGAAAGCGUGGGGAGCAAACAGGAUUAGAUACCCUGGUAGUCCACGCCGUAAACGAUGUCUACUUGGAGGUUGUGCCCUUGAGGUGUGGCUUCCGGAGCUAACGCGUUAAGUAGACCGCCUGGGGAGUACGGCCGCAAGGUUAAAACUCAAAUGAAUUGACGGGGGCCCGCACAAGCGGUGGAGCAUGUGGUUUAAUUCGAUGCAACGCGAAGAACCUUACCUGGUCUUGACAUCCACAGAAGAAUCCAGAGAUGGAUUUGUGCCUUCGGGAACUGUGAGACAGGUGCUGCAUGGCUGUCGUCAGCUCGUGUUGUGAAAUGUUGGGUUAAGUCCCGCAACGAGCGCAACCCUUAUCCUUUGUUGCCAGCGGUUCGGCCGGGAACUCAAAGGAGACUGCCAGUGAUAAACUGGAGGAAGGUGGGGAUGACGUCAAGUCAUCAUGGCCCUUACGACCAGGGCUACACACGUGCUACAAUGGCGCAUACAAAGAGAAGCGACCUCGCGAGAGCAAGCGGACCUCAUAAAGUGCGUCGUAGUCCGGAUUGGAGUCUGCAACUCGACUCCAUGAAGUCGGAAUCGCUAGUAAUCGUGGAUCAGAAUGCCACGGUGAAUACGUUCCCGGGCCUUGUACACACCGCCCGUCACACCAUGGGAGUGGGUUGCAAAAGAAGUAGGUAGCUUAACCUUCGGGAGGGCGCUUACCACUUUGUGAUUCAUGACUGGGGUGAAGUCGUAACAAGGUAACCGUAGGGGAACCUGCGGUUGGAUCACCUCCUUACCUUAAAGAAGC
rnacentral:rRNA from 1 species